rnacentral:lncRNA from 1 species
GUAAACUUUGCAAGCACAUAUUGUCUGUGUUGUCCACAACAAGCUAGCUAGUGUUGUAGGCUGAGGAAGUCAAAGCAUAUUGAUAAGGCCCAAAGUUUCAAUUAAGAAACCAUGUGAUUCAUCUGCAGAAGGAGCAGCAGUCGUAGUUGUAAUGGGCCAAAGGUUGAGUUGUCUAAAGGUACGUACCUUUUACCGUCCUAUACCAUCCGAGUAUUUACCACGACUUGCCCUGCUCUUUCAAGGACCAACAAACAGAUGCAAUAAUCUGCACUGCAAUGAGGGUACUCAGCCAUGCACUCUCUGAUUAUUGGAAAGGAACUGAUCAGUUCUUGCCUCCAUUAUUAAUGUUACACCCCUGUCCACAUGGACGGUCCAUGGAAAAUUAAAGGAGGGUGCAAAAUGGUUCGAGCUGGACAUGGAGUGCGGUUUGUGAUCAUCUUUUUAAUAAAAAAGGGAUCAGUCUCUCUCAAGAAUUUGAUCGUUGGAGGCGUGGGCGGUGCGGUCGACGACUCAGGGUGUAAAGGUUGAGUGGUGGGAUGGGCUUAACAGGUCAUGUCGUUGUUGGGAGCCCUCCCUGUUUGCUCCUAACCCAAAUUUUUAUUUGCCUAUUCAUGAUUGACAAAAUCUUGUACUGUUGUUUCCAAUUAGACUCCCACUCAAUCAUUAAGAGCCCCCCUCUCAAAGACUCGGCCUUUUCAAAUUUAAUACGUAACGUCGUGGUUCCGAGACGUGGCGCUAGCUUUGGCCAUCGACGGGUUAGCCACUUCCCAUGCCGACCUGCUCGAGUCAUGUGCAUUGCUGGGGUCUUUGCUCCUUUUUCCUGUAGCAGUUAAAGCUUUUUAUUUUCGAUGCUCAAAUUGUCUGACCUUUAGGGGUAAGUGAGGGAUAUUGCAGGGAAGCAUAUUGCAGUAUUUGAUUGAUGUUUUAGAGAUGGGUAAAUAAUCUCUAGCUAUGUGAUUGCAAUGAGUUGGAGGGAAAGUUAAUUUCUCUCAACAAACGGAAA